rnacentral:rRNA from 1 species
UUAAAAAGCUCGUAGUUGGAUUUCUGCGGGAGACGAAGGGUCUACCUUACGGGUAAGUAUCUCUCAGGCUCCUGCAUCCUCAACAGGAACGUCGCUGCGAUUCAUUUCGUGGUACGGUACUGUUGACUUUUACUUUGAGGAAAUUAGAGUGUUCACGGCAAGCAAACGCGUGUAUACAUUAGCAUGGAAUAAUAAUAUAGGACCUUGGAUCUAUUUUGUUGGUUUCUAGAACUAAGGUAAUGAUAAAUAGGGAUAGUUUGGGGGCAUUUGUACUAACGCGUCAGAGGUGGAAUUCUUGGAUUGCGUUAUGACAAACUACUGCGAAAGCAUUUGCCUAGGAUGUUUUCAUUGAUCAAGAACGAAAGUAUGGGGAUCGAAGACGAUUAGAUACCGUCGUAGUCUAUACCAUAAACUAUGCCAACUAGGAAUGAGACGGAUGUAUAUUUUAUGACCCGUUUCGCGCCUUAUGAGAAAUCAAAGUUUUUGGGUUCCGGGGGGAGUAUGGUCGCAAGUCUGAAACUUAAAGGAAUUGACGGAAGGGCACCACCAGGAGUGGAGCCUGUGGCUUAAUUUGACUCAACACGGGAAAUCUCACCAGGCCCGGACACCAGAAGGAUUGACAGA